rnacentral:lncRNA from 1 species
AGAUCUGUGCCCCAAAGCCCGGGGUGCCAGUUCACCGAAGCUCCGGCUGAGGUCUUGCUGAGCACCCGCAGGCGCCUGUGUAUCAAUAAAUCGCCUCUCGCUUUUGCAGCCAGUGUCUCGUGUGCUUUUCCUUGGACAGGGAGUCGGAGGGUCUUUCACAGGUUCCUGCAGAGAGUCACAGACUUCUUUCUGGGUCUGGAGCUGGAGUGGUGAUGUCCAGGACAGAAGCUACAAGGUAAGGGGCACAGAAGCCCGUUGUGGGAGGGUCUGAUGCUUUGUAUUUUCCUCUUAGGGUCCAAGGCAACGUAUCAGCCUACAGCAGGUAAAGGGGAGACCUGCUUAUGGUCACACCCAGGUAGAGGGAUGGAAGGUGUUUGGGGAGGGCUAGGCAGGGCUCUUGUCUCCAGAGGCUGAGUAGGAGGACCCUGGCCUCCUGACCUCUCCCCGCAGCAGGCUGAGUGCACUUCAUCCCCUGCUUCCUGGUUCAUUCUGUGGCUCAGAGGCCAGGUAAGUGGCUCUGGAAGAGGAAGUCCCAGGAGUGAUAAGGAGGAUGUUGCUUGGAGGUCUUUCUCUCCCAGAAGAAUCACAACACAGGCUGCUUACAAGGAACUGGACAUCUUACCCUCCCGGAAAACCAGGAGGUAAGGAGCUUAGUCCUAUCUUCCCAGAUGUACUCAGGUCAGUUGAGGAGACACUCCCUCUGGGAGAAGAAGGAGGGCAGUGGUGUUGGUCUGUCCAGGUGUUUGGAGAAAGUGAUGGCCACUCUCAGGCUGAAAGCACCUCCUCGCACACAGGUCUUUGAUGUCAAUAUGUGAGCAAGUGUGAGCACAUGCCCAGGAUGCACAGUUGGUGAGAAGUGACCACUAUGGCCAUUGUGUUUGUUUCUUUCCCUCUACCUGCUAUGGGAAGGAAUGUAGGGAGGUGAGGCCGCUCAGACCUGGAGGGCAUGGUAAGGGCUAUUUCAACUGUUAAUUUUUCCAUUGAUUCUGUGUGUGAUUCUUUAUGGGAGCUAGGAAGAGCCUGAGACAGAAGAUGCAAGAGGGGAGGACCUUGGAGCAUCUGGGGGAUGGCAGGCCUUGCUGUCUUUGCCACAGGAAGUGCACCGUCCCUCCCUGGGUUUGGAAUGGACAAGAGCCUGCUGUCCUCACCUGGAGGAGUCUUCCUACUGCAUAGCAGGUUGGAGCUCUUUAUGCAUUUUUCCUGCAAUUUCAGCAGCUCUCCACCGCUUCAACCCAGCCUCAUGGAAAUUUGGCUGUGACCUGCGGACAGGAGAUGGCUUUUCUCCGUCUCUUCCCACACCUAGUCAUGCCCCACACGUGUUUACUGCCCAUCCACCUGUGGCCAGAUUUGGUGAGCUCCCUGCCUUCUCCAGGUUUAGCCGACCUGCUUG